GGUCAGUUCCAGGCUUCAGUGUUUCCAUCCACAGAAGCUCAUCCUAUAUGCUGCAGAGCUCCUCAGCCGGAAGAAAGAGUGAGGGAGCUGGAGGGACUGCUCCGUAAGGCACAAGAGAAUGAGGCAAAAAGCUUGGUGUCUCUGGCUGAUGCGGAGCUGAAACACAAGGACGCUCUGGACUCCAUCAGUCAGCUGGAGGAAGAGAAGUCAGAGCUGAAGGACCAGGUGGACAAGCUGCAUUGCACGGUGCAGGAGCUGGGAGAAGAGCUCUGUCAGUGUCACCUUGAGAAUGAAGAGCUACUGAAGGAGUGUGAGCAAAACAAGGAGGCUCACAAAGCCCUGCAGCUGGAACAUGUAGAGUUGAAACAGGAGCUGGUCCUCAAGGAGGUAGUGCUGAAGGU